UAAGAGCACAUCCCCUACGUGAUGACGUAUGGCCUGACGAAGUGCUAAGAGCACGCAACGGUCUGUCGCCACCCACAUCCCCCCGCACACUUGGUCUCCGCUCUCCUGCUAUACCUGCCCGUGUAUUUUAAUAUACCGAAUAAAGAAGACGGUUGAAUGAAAAGUACAUGAGGAUCAGAAUCCGCUGACAUAGAAACCAUCUGGGCGUCAAGUUCUGCUGAGAGAAAAUUUAGCUGGAACAAUUCCUGGCGGGUACGAAACCUAUUCUGCAGCACUGAAAGUUCCCAAGUUUCUGAGAGUUUGGAUCAACAAGGACUCUUUCUAGAGCUGGCUGCACCACCAAACAAAGUCAUUUUUGGAGAAGGGUCACUCUGGCUGAGCUUCAAAGAUCCUGUGUACAGAUGAGACCAACUUCCAGCUGGUCAACCAUAAUCACAACACUCCACCAAUCUUGGCU